CAAGUCGAACGGACGAUCAGGGCUUGCUCUGAUCGUUAGUGGCGGACGGCUGAGUAACGCGUAGGUGACCUACCCCGAAGUGGGGAAUAACUGCCCGAAAGGGUGGCUAAUACCGCAUGUGGUGGUGUGUUCGAUCACACCAGUAAAGCCGCAAGGCGCUACGGGAGGGGCCUGCGUCCGAUUAGCUCGUUGGUGGGGUAACGGCUCACCAAGGCGACGAUCGGUAGGUGGUCUGAGAGGACGAUCACCCAGACUGGGACUGAGACACGGCCCAGACUCCUACGGGAGGCAGCAGUCGGGAAUUUUGCGCAAUGGACGAAAGUCUGACGCAGCAACGCCGCGUGAGGGAUGAAGGCCUUCGGGUUGUAAACCUCUUUUGUCAGGGAAGAUGAUGACGGUACCUGUCGAAUAAGCCACGGCUAACUACGUGCCAGCAGCCGCGGUAAUACGUAGGUGGCAAGCGUUGUCCGGAUUUACUGGGCGUAAAGAGCGCGCAGGCGGUCGUCCAAGUCGCGUGUGAAAGCCCCCGGCUCAACUGGGGAGGGUCACGCGAUACUGGUCGACUCGAAGGCAGGAGAGGGUAGUGGAAUUCCCGGUGUAGUGGUGAAAUGCGUAGAUAUCGGGAGGAACACCAGUGGCGAAGGCGACUACCUGGCCUGUUCUUGACGCUGAGGCGCGAAAGCUAGGGGAGCAAACGGGAUUAGAUACCCCGGUAGUCCUAGCCGUAAACGAUGGACACUAGGUGUUGGUGGUAUCAACCCCGCCGGUGCCGAAGCUAACGCAUUAAGUGUCCCGCCUGGGGAGUACGGCCGCAAGGCUAAAACUCAAAGGAAUUGA
rnacentral:rRNA from 1 species